AUACGUAGGGGGCGAGCGUUGUCCGGAAUGAUUGGGCGUAAAGGGCGCGUAGGCGGCCCGGUAAGUCUGGAGUGAAAGUCCUGUUUUUAAGAUGGGAAUUGCUUUGGAUACUGUCGGGCUUGAGUGCAGGAGAGGUAAGUGGAAUUCCCAGUGUAGCGGUGAAAUGCGUAGAGAUUGGGAGGAACACCAGUGGCGAAGGCGACUUACUGGACUGUAACUGACGCUGAGGCGCGAAAGUGUGGGGAGCAAACAGGAUUAGAUACCCUGGUAGUCCACACUGUAAACGAUGAAUGCUAGGUGUAGGUGGUAUCGACCCCUUCUGUGCCGCAGUAAACACAAUAAGCAUUCCGCCUGGGGAGUAUGGUCGCAAGAUUAAAACUCAAAGGAAUUGACGGGG
rnacentral:rRNA from 1 species